GGAUUUGACCAUAUCCAGCACUACCCAUGUCGUUGUCGUUCGCCUUCGUGCUGUGAGCGAUAGCAUCGUCAUUUCCUUCAUGUGCUCACCCUCGAUCUCCGCCUUGCCAUCACCCUUGAUCACAGCACUGUGUCGACGACUUGCGAUCCUCACUCUCGCGCUCACGCUUUGUCGAAUGUCACUCUAGUACUCGUCAGAAGAAGAGCUUCAACAGUUGAUUACUGAAGAAAAGAAGAACCCUGGGUGACAUCUACCUAGUACUCGACGGAAAUUCUGAAGUACAAUUUAUCACCGUGUCCAUGGAAGUGGAGCGACUUAAUAUUGGUAAGCGAACUCGUUACUUCGGAUAGUUGGAAUGGUAAUUUGAUUGGCUAGAUUUAUUAAUCGUAAUAAUCCUCGUGUUGGCACAGGCGCGUUGUGGUAGUGUUAAAUAUGUGUGAAAUACGAUGGAGUUAGUAAUGCGAAAGGUAGAUUAAAUUAUACGAUAUUCAGGUGAGCUGAUGAUGUAAAAUAUAGGAUUAGUAUUCCUAUCAGCUAGUUGAUAGAUUUUCUAGUGUUAUUAUGUCAAUUUGGUUAAUUGAUAUAGUCGAUACCCUACUUAAUUAGUUAGUUUAUUCUAGGUUUGGUAUUUAGUUCGAUGUCAUGAGGGAUGUGCAAAUUACCUCGUGUAAUUAACAAUGAAUGACAUCGACCUAUCUAAUUAGCGUGGAAUUCAAGAUAAUUGAGAAACACAAUUUAGAAAGUUAGUUAAUAUGCCCCUUUACUCUAAGUUGUCGGUAUUCGAAAAUAGUGAAUAAAAAUUUGACGAGUAAUUUGAUAUUGGGUGUUUUGACAAAAGACUUGUGCUUAGCUUAUUAUUACUUGAUGUUUGAAGUAGAUGCGAUUACGCUAGAAAAGUGUAAUAAUUCGGCGUAGUCGUAUAUCGGUAACUAGUGUUUCCGUAUAAAAUUGUACAAUGCCUCGCCGCUAGGUGUUUAAUUCGCUAUCGCGUAGCACUAUUUAGGUUUGUAAUAUUCUUGUCUAUAUGCAUUCAUGUGCAUAAUGCAUUUCAUUCAG
rnacentral:lncRNA from 1 species